rnacentral:tRNA from 1 species
GGCCUCGGCGGGCGGUGCGGCCUUCGCCUUCGGGGCCUUGGGCGCCUUGGCCGGAGCCGCGUUCGGCGGCGCGGGCGGGGCCU